UACAGAGGGUGCAAGCGUUAAUCGGAAUUACUGGGCGUAAAGCGCGCGUAGGUGGUUUGUUAAGUUGGAUGUGAAAGCCCCGGGCUCAACCUGGGAACUGCAUCCAAACUGGCAAGCUAGAGUACGGUAGAGGGUGGUGGAAUUUCCUGUGUAGCGGUGAAAUGCGUAGAUAUAGGAAGGAACACCAGUGGCGAAGGCGACCACCUGGACUGAUACUGACACUGAGGUGCGAAAGCGUGGGGAGCAAACAGG
rnacentral:rRNA from 1 species